CAAUGGCUCAAUUGGUAGAGUGUCGGUCUCCAAAACCGAGGGUUGUGGGUUCGAGUCCCUCUUGA
rnacentral:tRNA from 1 species